rnacentral:rRNA from 1 species
CCUUUUCCAUAAGCGGAGGAAAAGAAACCAACAGGGGAUUGCCUUAGUAACGGCGAGCGAAGCGGCAAAAGCUCAAAUUUGAAAUCUGGCACCUUCGGUGUCCGAGUUGUAAUUUGAAGAAGGUAACUUUGGAGUUGGCUCUUGUCUAUGUUCCUUGGAACAGGACGUCACAGAGGGUGAGAAUCCCGUGCGAUGAGAUGCCCAAUUCUAUGUAAAGUGCUUUCGAAGAGUCGAGUUGUUUGGGAAUGCAGCUCUAAGUGGGUGGUAAAUUCCAUCUAAAGCUAAAUAUUGGCGAGAGACCGAUAGCGAACAAGUACAGUGAUGGAAAGAUGAAAAGAACUUUGAAAAGAGAGUGAAAAAGUACGUGAAAUUGUUGAAAGGGAAGGGCUUGAGAUCAGACUUGGUAUUUUGCGAUCCUUUCCUUCUUGGUUGGGUUCCUCGCAGCUUACUGGGCCAGCAUCGGUUUGGAUGGUAGGAUAAUGACUAAGGAAUGUGGCUCUACUUCGGUGGAGUGUUAUAGCCUUGGUUGAUACUGCCUGUCUAGACCGAGGACUGCGUCUUUGACUAGGAUGCUGGCAUAAUGAUCUUAAGCCAC